UACGGAGGGGGCAAGCGUUGCUCGGAAUUAUUGGGCGUAAAGGGUAGGUAGGUGGUCUUAUUUGUCUGGGGUGAAAGCCUUGAGCUUAACUCGAGAAGUGCCUCAGAAACUGUGAGACUAGAGUUCUGGAGAGGGUCGUGGAAUUCCCGGUGUAGCGGUGAAAUGCGUAGAGAUCGGGAGGAACACCAGAGGCGAAAGCGGCGACCUGGACAGAUACUGACACUCAACUACGAAAGCAUGGGGAGCAAACAGG
rnacentral:rRNA from 1 species